rnacentral:rRNA from 1 species
CAGUAGCCGCGGGAAUACAGAGGAUGCAAGCGUUAUCCGGAAUGAUUGGGCGUAAAGCGUCUGUAGGUGGCUUUUCAAGUCCGCCGUCAAAUCCCAGGGCUCAACCCUGGACAGGCGGUGGAAACUACCAAGCUGGAGUACGGUAGGGGCAGAGGGAAUUUCCGGUGGAGCGGUGAGAUGCGUUGAGAUCGGAAAGGACACCAACAGCGAAAGCACUCUGCUGGGCCGACACUGACACUGAGAGACGAAAGCUAGGGGAGCAAAUGGGAUUAGAUACCCGCGUAGUCCCUGUCUCUUAUAC